UGGGGAAUAUUGGACAAUGGGCGAAAGCCUGAUCCAGCCAUGCCGCGUGUGUGAAGAAGGUCUUCGGAUUGUAAAGCACUUUAAGUUGGGGGGAAGGGCAGUAAGCGAAUACCUUGCUGUUUUGACGUUACCGACAGAAUAAGCACCGGCUAACUCUGUGCCAGCAGCCGCGGUAAUACAGAGGGUGCAAGCGUUAAUCGGAAUUACUGGGCGUAAAGCGCGCGUAGGUGGUUCGUUAAGUUGAAUGUGAAAGCCCCGGGCUCAACCUAGGAACUGCAUCCAAAACUGGCGAGCUAGAGUAGGGCAGAGGGUGGUGGAAUUUCCUGUGUAGCGGUGAAAUGCGUAGAUAUAGGAAGGAACACCAGUGGCGAAGGCGACCACCUGGGCUCAUACUGACACUGAGGUGCGAAAGCGUGGGGAGCAAACAGG
rnacentral:rRNA from 1 species